UUUUAAGGGAGACCUUCAGGGAGUGGGAACCCAAUUUAACCCCACCAUCUACUGAACAUCCCAAGGUCGUGCCAGAAUAGUGAUGUCUCUUUCCAACUAAAGAUAGGUUUGUUUAAAAGCACCUUGAAAACUGCAUAGAAAAUAGGUAGAGUCAUGAUAUCAGAGUAAAAUCAUGAUAUCAGUAGAAAAAAAAGGUCAAGCUACAAAGAGCUAACGGUGGAUACCUAGGCACACAGAGGCGAAG
rnacentral:misc_RNA from 1 species